rnacentral:rRNA from 1 species
GACGGAGGGUGCUAGCGUUGUUCGGAAUUAUUGGGCGUAAAGGGCGCGUAGGCGGCCAUGCGUGUCUUCCGUGAAAUCCCUCGGCUUAACUGAGGACGUGCGGAAGAAACUGCAAGGCUCGAGUCCGGGAGAGGGGGGUGGAAUUCCCAGUGUAGCGGUGAAAUGCGUAGAUAUUGGGAGGAACACCGGUGGCGAAGGCGGCCCCCUGGACCGGUACUGACGCUGAGGCGCGAAAGCGUGGGUAGCAAACGGG